rnacentral:rRNA from 1 species
GACGAACGCUGGCGGCGUGCUUAACACAUGCCAGUCGAACGGAAAGGCCCUGCUUUUGUGGGGUGCUCGAGUGGCGAACGGGUGAGUAACACGUGAGUAACCUGCCCUUGACUUUGGGAUAACUUCAGGAAACUGGGGCUAAUACCGGAUAGGAGCUCCUGCUGCAUGGUGGGGGUUGGAAAGUUUCGGCGGUUGGGGAUGGACUCGCGGCUUAUCAGCUUGUUGGUGGGGUAGUGGCUUACCAAGGCUUUGACGGGUAGCCGGCCUGGGAGGGUGACCGGCCACAUUGGGACUGAGAUACGGACCAGACUCCUACGGGAGGCAGCAGGGGGGAAUAUUGCACAAUGGGCGGAAGCCUGAUGCAGCAACGCCGCGUGCGGGAUGACGGCCUUCGGGUUGUAAACCGCUUUCGCCUGUGACGAAGCGUGAGUGACGGUAAUGGGUAAAGAAGCACCGACUAACUACGUG